UACGUAGGGUGCAAGCGUUAAUCGGAAUUACUGGGCGUAAAGGGUGCGUAGGCGGUCGGGUAAGUCUGAUGUGAAAUCUCACAGCUUAACUGUGAAACUGCAUUGGAUACUAUCCGGCUUGAGAGUUGGAGGGGGGACUGGAAUUCUUGGUGUAGCAGUGAAAUGCGUAGAUAUCAAGAGGAACACCAGUGGCGAAGGCGAGUCCCUGGACAACUUCUGACGCUGAGGCACGAAAGCUAGGGGAGCAAACAGG
rnacentral:rRNA from 1 species